AGGUAACCUCCUUGUGAUGACAAUGGGGUCGUUGAUCUGCUCAGAAAUUAAUAUCUUUUGCUCUUUAGACUUGCUGAGAUGGAUUUAUUUAUCUCCUUCCUUGAAGCUAGUCUAGUAUGCUUUAGAACAUU